AAGCGAAACGGGGUUGCCCCCCGUCCGAGCAGUGUGGCGGCUGCUCGCUGAUGAGCUAGCCAAUU
rnacentral:hammerhead_ribozyme from 1 species